rnacentral:lncRNA from 1 species
GGAAAGAUGCCAAGGCCAGGGGGGCGCCUUAUAGGGCCCAGACCCCGUGGCCCAGCCGCCCGUGGAGAGGGCCUAUCACGCAUGUGUGUACCAGCUGCUUUCCCCUCCGCCCUCUUGAGAACUGGCCUCCUGCAAGACCUGAUUUCAUCCUGAAGGCAGCUCCGGCUUGGGUCUGAAGCUUCCUGAUGGGUACAGAUGAUGCUUUUCUUCGAUCCUCUCACAACUGGGAGUUCAAUGAGCAGCAACUCUGGUCGUCCUGGAAUGCAGGCUUUCCAGAAGACAGACCCUCCCCCCAGUCUGUUUUUAUCCUAACAUUAUCCGGUGUCUGGCUUUUUAUUAAUUGUUCCAGCCCGCGGCUACAGAGAUUGCAAGCUGAAAAUCCUUCAGGGUGGGACAACACAGAAUUAAUUGAAACAGAAAAACAAGGACUAGAGAGAGAAAACAGAAGACUAAAAGUCCAGUUGAACGAAAUAGAAGAGCUCCUGGAAAGGAAAAACAGAUUAGGUGUAAACUUUCAAAGUCCUGAUGUCAAGACAUCACAAAUUGAAUUGCAAGAAAAGAACAAUGCAUGGUGUUCCUGGAAGCAUCUGUUCUCUUACUGUGUAUUUCCUUCUGAUGCUUAGGUGGGUGCUGCUUUCUCCCUGGUCCACCUCCACAUCUGAAUAUAUCUCUUUGUGCUAAUAUCUGACAGCUUGCUCUUUUCCUGUUUUAAUAAAUGUAAUGUUGCUUAUGUAUCUGAAAUAGAGUGUAACAAAUUUUGGAUGAAAAUGUGAAAAUAUGACAAAGGAAGACAAGAUGCAUCUUGUUUUGCUUUCCAUUAUAGCGUUGUGUGAGUAUUUUCUAAGCUAUUGAGCUUAUUUUCAAUAAAUGUGCUUAUCUACUAAUUUGAGCAUCUCUACAACAGCAUUUAUUGGUACCUAUGAUAAGUAUUUGCAUAAACAUUUAAAUUUACCUGAGGCUUACUGUUCUCUGAUUCCAUUUUUUGUCUCAGAAUGAUUAUUUUGAUAGGGGCCAGAGAUUUAACUCAGUGGCAUGGCGCCUGUCUCCCAAGAGAAAGGCCCUGAGUUCGAUCCCUGGUACCACAAAAAACAAAAAACAACAAAAAAGAAAAACAAUAACCCCCCCAAGAAUCAUUAUUUUUAGUCAAUUAAAUGCAACUUUUUUUCAAAGAGCUCUUUUAACCAUAAUGUGAAAACCAGGAUUAAAUUCAAAAAUUUAACUUUGGCAAAUUUAGAUUGUCUGGAUGUUUUUCCUUUAAGCCAAUAGAGAUGGGGCCUAUAGAAAGGAACGUUUUUUUCUUUUUAUAAAUAAUUUGCAGACUUUUAAAUGUACUUUCAGUGAUAGACAAAACUAUAAUUUGUGUGGUUUACUAUAAAUAUGCUACAAUAUAUAUGCAGCUUGCUUACAAAUUCUUCCAUUAAAGUAUCUAUAGUAUCUAAAUGUAUGAUUCAAUUUUCUAUUCAAAUUCUUUUAAAAACUUUAAAAGUGACUGAAAAUUUCAUGGUUGUAAAUUAUAUAAGUUGUUCAUACUCUUACAAACUCUAAG